UCGGGAAUUUUGGGCAAUGGGCGAAAGCCUGACCCAGCAACGCCGCGUGAGGGAUGAAGUAUUUCGGUAUGUAAACCUCGAAAGAAUGGGAAGAAUAAAUGACGGUACCAUUUAUAAGCUCCGGCUAACUACGUGCCAGCAGCCGCGGUAAUACGUAGGGAGCAAGCGUUGUUCGGAUUUACUGGGCGUAAAGGGCGCGUAGGCGGCGCGGUAAGUCACUUGUGAAAUCUCUGAGCUUAACUCAGAACGGCCAAGUGAUACUGCUGUGCUUGAGUGCGGAAGAGGCAACCGGAAUUCUUGGUGUAGCGGUGAAAUGCGUAGAUAUCAAGAGGAACACCUGAGGCGAAGGCGGGUUGCUGGGCCGACACUGACGCUGAUGCGCGAAAGCCAGGGGAGCAAACG
rnacentral:rRNA from 1 species